AGUGAACGCUGGCGGUAGGCCUAACACAUGCAAGUCGAACGGCAGCACAGUAAGAGCUUGCUCUUACGGGUGGCGAGUGGCGGACGGGUGAGGAAUACAUCGGAAUCUACUUUUUCGUGGGGGAUAACGUAGGGAAACUUACGCUAAUACCGCAUACGACCUACGGGUGAAAGCAGGGGAUCUUCGGACCUUGCGCGAUUGAAUGAGCCGAUGUCGGAUUAGCUAGUUGGCGGGGUAAAGGCCCACCAAGGCGACGAUCCGUAGCUGGUCUGAGAGGAUGAUCAGCCACACUGGAACUGAGACACGGUCCAGACUCCUAGGGGAGGCAGCAGGGGGGAAUAUUGGACAAUGGGCGCAAGCCUGAUCCAGCCAUACCGCGGGGGUGAAGAAGGCCUUCGGGUUGUAAAGCCCUUUUGUUGGGAAAGAAAAGCAGCAGGUUAAGACCCCGCUGUUCUGACGGUACCCAAAGAAUAAGCACCGGCUAACUUCGU
rnacentral:rRNA from 1 species